ACAAGUAUUCAAAUCACUACAAAACAAAAUGUCGUCCUGUGAUCUUACUGUCUUACUCAGUUUAGUGGUUUUAUGCUACAUAUCACAUAACCAAGAUGUUUACAAGAAGAAUUCAGAAAAUAUUCUUUUGGGGCAAGAAGAAACGAAAAAUCUCAUUUCUAGGACCACGGAUUGUACUCUUCAAGAAAUUGGUGAAUUUGCAGUGAGCCCUGGGGAUACUAAACGAAAAUACCAAACAACACUUGAUGCGUGCAAGACGGACUGUGAAAAUUCUCCACAGUGCCGAGCUAUGUAUUAUAUAAACAGAAUGUGUUUCAUCAUUUAUAAAGACGCUCAACGAAUUGAACUAUUAGGGUCAUCGUUCUUUCUAAAAAUUUGCCAUGGGAUAUAUUGUGACCUCAAGCUAUUGGAGGGACAGGUCUCAGAUUUAUUACAAAUAGUAUCCACUCUCAGCAACGAUGUCAAGAUUCUAAAGGAGAGCUUGGCAAAAUACAACACCACCGCUUAUUGAUUUAGAAAGGACACCGGAACAAAGAAACAUUUUAUAUUUAUAUAUAAAGUUAUUAAUUUGAUUUUUGAAAACUUAUCGGAAAACCUAAUAUCUUUUUCACAUCUAUCGAUUGUAAAAAAUGUGCUGGAUUAUAAUUUGAGUAUGUCAGCCUUUUGUCUGCAAGUUCAUUCAUUUUGCUAUAACACUUUAAAAGUUACCGUAUGUAUUUCGCCAUAACCAUUAUCAUAAGACAACCACAGCUGGUAAUAAGAUGUAUGGUGGUUUAGAUUGUAUAUUCUAGCUGUUUAAAUGCGUCCGUUGAUCUUGCAAUUUGAUUCUUAAAGUGACUCAUUACCCAUUGACACAGUUUCUGAAAUAAGCAGAAAAUUAUUAAAGUAUGAUAGAUAGCAUGACACAUUAGAAGUGUAUAAGCAUAAUAGGGAAAAAAAUGCAAUUUUUGGGGAAAAAAUUAUAAUUUUGCAAAAAAUAUUUCAGUAUAUAUAAAAAACAAAAGGCUUAUGCGGAUUCGAACUCGUGAUCUACGGUUCACAAGCCCUAUACUCUAACCGCUAAGCUACAUGUAUGAUAAUACUUAACCUAAUCGAUUGAUACAAACUUUUAAACAAAAAAUGCAAAUCGCCAUCUACUGACUUUGUGUCUUAAAACGUAUGUCCUAAAUUGAUGUAGCGAGUACGGUAAAAACAUCGUCUUGUUUUUCAAUGAGGCGAAUUAAAUCACAAAAUAAGGAAUCAUUUAUUUUAGACACGAAGAUAAUCGUCUUUAAAAUUCUCACCACAAUUACAUGAAACUCAAGGGAGGAUUUAAAAACCGGGAAUACUAACCAUGUUAUGUAUAAAAUAACUGGUGUUUAAGAUAAAUGGUACGGAUUUUUUUUUUGGUUUCAGCAGAUUAAAAUGACUCUGGUCAAAAAAGCAACCUCGCAGUUCUAAAUAAUUGAUAUGAUUUCUAUUAUUAUACUAUUUAAAAGGCUAAUAUUAAGUUAUUAUAUAAGUAUUUCAAAUGUGUUUUAAGAAAAACCAACUAAGUAAACGAAUAAUUAUAUUACUAUGGUGGCAUAUCUCUGCCCCUUGUGUGCAAGUAAUUUUUCUAUCAAAUAUGUCGACAUGCAAGAUCGAUAUGUUGACAUGCAAGAUAAUUAUGUCAACAUGCAACAUAACUAUGUUGACAUGCAAGAAAUUGCAAUGAGAUAUGAAUUAUACAAAAUCUAAAAAGAAACCUCAAAUAUCGCCCACCUGUGACAUCCAAGAUGAUAGAUGCUACCUUUUUAUGUCGACAUGCAACUUAUUUAUGUUAACAUGUAAGAUAAAUAUGCUGACAUGCAACUUAUUUAUAUCAACAUGCAACUUAUUUAUUGGAAUGCAACUUCUUUAUGUCAACAUGCAACUUACUUAUGUCGACAUGCGAGAUGAAUAUGUCGACAUGCAACUUAGUUAUGUUUACAUGCGAGAUAAAUAUGUUGACAUGCAACUUUUAAGUUGCAUGUCAACAUAACUAAGUUGCAUGUUGACAUAAAUAUGUUGCAUGUAGAAAAUUAAAAUAACUUGCACACAAGGGGCAGAGAUAUGCCACCAUACAUUACUGAUCAUCGCAAAUUUUUAUGACUGAAAUUUACAUGUAUGAUGAAUUUUUUUUUAAAUUUAAUUUUCAUAUUUCAUGAUUCUUUUAUAUAUAUCCGUUUAAAACAUUAAAAGAAAAAAAUUGUUAAAAAUGAACACGUAAUUCUUUAUCUUUCAAAAUAUCUAUCUUUCUUUUUAUGUAUCUUUCUAAAUGUGUGUGUUAGUCAUAAAAACCUGUAUUAUCUAACAAAUUAUGUUCAAUUAAAAUCCCAAAUGUUUACCCUCUUAUGUUCAUCAUUGUACAUUUUACUGAAAUUAAAUUGAUUUUUUAAUACACAUUGAUUUAUGCUCUUUGUUAGAUAAAAGAAUAAAUACUUUGUGUUAAGACAUUUUGCGCUUUAUAUCUUUAAUAUGUGGUUAACGAUAAUUUUCAAUGUAAAUUUUAUAAAUGUACAUAUCAAAGCUCAAUCUAUAGCUAGCACCUUUUUGAAUAUGUUAAUAACUAUGAAAUGAUUUCUUAAUCAACAGUUUUCGUUACCCUGUACGAAUUGAUUGGUUAAAAGUUUUUUUCACAUUAUCUCUGGUGAUUGCGUUGAAAAUUCAAAAUUUCAAUAAAAACUCUUUUUAUUAUUAAAUGUUUCCUAUUCAAGAGGAAAGAAACCAAGUGUAUGUUGUA